UUGGAGGGCAAGUCUGGUGCCAGCAGCCGCGGUAAUUCCAGCUCCAAUAGCGUAUAUUAAAGUUGUUGCAGUUAAAAAGCUCGUAGUUGAAUUUCGGGAUUAGUACGCUGGUCGUGCCUUCGGUACGUACUGGUGUUACUGAUUCCUACCUUCUGACGAACCAUCAUGUCAUUAAUUUGGUGUGGCGGGGAAUCAGGACUGUUACUUUGAAAAAAUUAGAGUGUUUAAAGCAGGCUCGCGCUUGAAUACAUUAGCAUGGAAUAAUGAGAUAGGACGUUGAUCCUAUCUUGUUGGUUUCUAGGAUUGACGUAAUGAUUAAUAGGGAUAGUUGGGGGCAUUAGUAUUCAAUUGUCAGAGGUGAAAUUCUUGGAUUUAUUGAAGACUAACUACUGCGAAAGCAUUUGCCAAGGAUGUUUUCAUUAAUCAAGAACGAAAGUUAGGGGAUCGAAGACGAUCAGAUACCGUCGUAGUCUUAACCAUAAACUAUGCCGACUAGGGAUCGGAUGAUGUUAUUUUUAAUGACUCAUUCGGCGCCUUACGGGAAAC
rnacentral:rRNA from 1 species